UACGGAGGGAGCUAGCGUUGUUCGGAAUUACUGGGCGUAAAGCGCACGUAGGCGGCUUUGUAAGUUAGAGGUGAAAGCCCAGGGCUCAACCCUGGAAUUGCCUUUAAGACUGCAUCGCUUGAACAUCGGAGAGGUAAGUGGAAUUCCUAGUGUAGAGGUGAAAUUCGUAGAUAUUCGGAAGAACACCAGUGGCGAAGGCGACUUACUGGACGAUUGUUGACGCUGAGGUGCGAAAGCGUGGGGAGCAAACAGG
rnacentral:rRNA from 1 species